rnacentral:rRNA from 1 species
UACGUAGGGUGCAAGCGUUGUCCGGAAUUAUUGGGCGUAAAGAGCUCGUAGGCGGUCUGUCGCGUCUGCUGUGAAAACUCAGGGCUUAACCCUGAGCUUGCAGUGGGUACGGGCAGACUAGAGUGCGGUAGGGGAGACUGGAAUUCCUGGUGUAGCGGUGAAAUGCGCAGAUAUCAGGAAGGGAACACCGGUGGCGAAAGGCGGGUCUCUGGGCCGUAAC